GUUGACCUCGGAUCAGGUAGGAAUACCCGCUGAACUUAAGCAA
rnacentral:rRNA from 2 species